CCUGGCGGCGAUAGCGCGGUGGUCCCACCUGACCCCAUGCCGAACUCAGAAGUGAAAAACUCAGAAGUGAAACGCCGUAGCGCCGAUGGUAGUGUGGGGUCUCCCCAUGUGAGAGUAGGGAACUGCCAGGC
rnacentral:rRNA from 1 species